UGGUUCCUUGCCUCCCCACUAAUGCUAUUAUGGGAAUAGAGUGAGAAGUUUCCAACGUAUAUAAUGAGAGAUGGAGAGUAUUUGGUUUUCUUGAUGUGAAGUGAUGUGAUGCAGUUGUGCUUCAAGUCGAUUAAUGACAAAGUUAUGGACUCCUCCAAAUAAAAGGGGGAAGAUGAGAGAGGAGGCUUGAACCAAGUGGUGAUCUUGCUGACAUACCCUACAGAAGAAAUUUGAUAUGCUCUCCCAUAAUUCGUACUAGUCAGGACCUCGUGCGAUGCAUGGGGUUGAGGAUAGAGCUCUCAAUAGCGGCAGUUUUAAAAGGGGGCUAAAUGGCGACUGCGCUUUACCCUCUGCCACUAUGCACAUUUAACACCAAGCAAAAAUACACCACCAAUUUAGUUCAUAAAAAGCUCUCCGUGCACUCAAAUAAUAUUUCGCGCGCGAAUUCACUCGCCUAAGGCCUUAAACCAUUCCCACAUUUUCAAUGGUCAGCAACGGUGGCAGAAGCUAAGGAAGAGACCAUAGAGGAGAGUGGAGGAGCAGAGCUUAUUGCUGAGGUUGAAGGAGAUGAAGCGAGCGAGAGUCUGGUGAGUGUGGGUUUAGCAUCGGUGUUUCGGUGAGCCUCGGUUUUAAUCAGGGCCCAAACCCAUGCUUCCUCUUCGCAUGAAUCGGAUGGCAUCCUUGACAGCGACAAGUAGAAGCGGCAGAUUUAAAAUUGAUUAGGUAGGAAGUUGGAAUUAGGGUAGACAUGAGGGAGUGAGAAGUCUCGGAGUCGCGUGUGACUUAUAAGGUUGGGGCUGAAGGCAGAAUCCUUGAGGGAUUUCAAUGGUUUUUCCCUAUUCCCCUCGUUUGGCUCCAUCAACAUUCUUAUACCAAUUAGCACGCCUACCCCCUAUCUCAUCUCCAGAGAUUUUGGGAAGAAUGGAGCGAACACCGUGUUCUCUUAUUAUUUUCGAUUUCAGGAUCGCCCAAACUUACAUCUCUAGCCCAAAAAGUACGGCCACAGAGUUUUCUUGUUGAUCCAUCUCUGACAAAUAAGGUAUCUGGCUCCAGAAUAUGCAGCAAGCAGCAAACUCACAGAUAAAUUAGAUGUUUUCUCUUUUGGAGUCAUGUUGCUGGAGUUGAUUACUGGGCGCUGACCCGUUGAUACAAUCAAACCUUCAUGGAUGAUAGCUUGGUGGACUGGGGACUUUGCUGCCACCAAUAUGAUAGCUAGGAGCAAAUGGCUUGAAAAGGAAGUCUUGGCCAGACUUAGACAUGCUACCACUAGGAUGGCUUACAGAUCCAGGUCCCCACAGGAAAUGCAAUCUCACUCUUGAUGAGCAAAGAACUCAGAUGAUCACUUUGUGGUCUAUGGCCAAGUCUACACCAUGGAAACCAAUAUAUCAUUAUCCGCUUAUUGGCGCUUAAUCUUCAUAGAGGCCAAGUUCUGAGCAGGCCUCUUCUCUCCAGUUUUCAAGCUUUCAUUUGCAUUGCCACUUGAAAUUGAUAUACUGCAAUCGUUGCUAUGAUAUUGACGGUGAUAUAUUUAAUGUGAAGAUCUUCAUUUGCUUUACCAUCUGUAUCUAGAUCUUGUGAAAGCAAAAAAUAAAAGUGAAGAUCUACAAGUUUUAGUUGAUAAUGCAUACCUAGUGGAUAAAUAAUUGAAGGUGAUAUAUUUAAUGAGACACGUGUGAACAACUAUUUUGGUCUUUGUGCAACAGUAAAGAUGGUUGAAGGUAAUGAUAUUUAUAAUGGAAUCCGCUCUUGG